GGAGCUUGGAGUCGACUCCUAGCAUGCAUCUCUUUUCCAUCAUCUCUAGAUUUGUCUGUUUUCUUCUGUAAAGAUACUGAAUUUUGCAGUGAUCUCUUCAUAACAGAAAAUUUGGCAGUUUCUUGAUUGAAUCCCUGUCUAUCAUCAUCUGUUUGCUGCAUGAUUCCUUGAUAUUGAUGCACUGCUCCCUUGACAUUAGGUGGAUUCAAAUCCCCAUUUUCCUUAAUAAUUUCGAAAUCCACUGGAUUCCAUCAUAGUAGCUUGUUGAAAAGUAAAACUAUUCUUCCCAUUUGAUCCAAGCACACUACGGCGA
rnacentral:misc_RNA from 1 species